CGCCACAGCCAUAUCACCCUGCAGCCCAAGACUGGUUACUCACUGAAGCUAAGCAGGGCUGAGCUUGGUCAAUACCUGGAUGGGAGACCACAUUGGAAAACUAGGUUGCUGUUGGAA
rnacentral:rRNA from 1 species